AUCAUUAUUUUGAUGACAUUACAGUUGUUUAUUUUCUCUUGUGUGUACAGAUUGAAUAUUGUGCGAUAAACAGAAGUUGAAAUCAACUUGAUUAAUGUAAAUUUUCUUUACAGCUAAAUCAAGUAGAAUUUGUUGUCCUGAUUUCUGAAUUGGUUGUUCUAAUAUUUUCCUCUGAAUUUUAACUCGUGUUUAGAGGUUCACAUGUUCCCCCAUUUUGUUUUCUUCCAUUUCUUCUUUAUUGUAAGCUGAGCUGUAUAUAUUUUCAGUCAUCAUGUGUAAGUUAAAAGAUGAGUUUUAUUGAAGUCAAAAUUUCGUACCCAUGUUAAAUUAAGAUACCAAGUAAUAAUGACUGAGCCAGUGGAUAGGAUUCACUAGGAUUGUUCAUUCCCAAUUAUCAACGAAGGCUAAUUUUUUGGUUUGUCAGUUUAUACUGCAGAGAAGUGCUUGCCUUCCAGUCAAUCCAUUUUUUUAAUUCAACCAUUGGAAGUAUAAUACUGUAUAAUAUGUAGUGCUAUAAUAAUCUCUGUAGAUGUACUCCAGUGAUUCCUGCCUUCUAACUUUACUCCACUAACAGUGAACAUGAGUCUCAUUCCCAUAAGUAAUGCUACAGUAGACCAAUAAGUACUUAAAAUAUUGUAAAAGCUGUAGUAUAAUCAAAGGUGGAAGAACCUCCCUAAAUUGCAUGCACUGAUCCCUCCUCACAUUUCUCUUGUCAUUCUACUGCUACUGUGACUUCACUGGUUUUAUCUGUCUGUCUCUCUGACUUCUUCCUUUGCAGAUUUGGUAGCUAGAAAAGAGGGAUUCUAAGAGAGAAAUUUAAUACACAGGGAAUUAGUGUGUUGUUUCUUGAUAUGAAUGACCUGGAACAAAAAAUUGUGUCAUAGAUUCAAUGAGAUAACCAAUUCCUAUAAAAUUAUAGUUUAGAUGAUACUAUUUGAGCUAUUUCACCCGUACUGUUAGAGCUAGAUGCUCCCCCUACUCUUCACAAGGUCAUCAAAGCCAUGGAACAGCUAAAACCUACAAAGCAUCAGGGUCUGACGGUAUCGCAGCCGAGAUCUACCAGUAUGGUGGUAACACACUGACAUCAUGCCUACACCAGCUGUUCACAAAGCUGUGGGGAGCUGCAGAACUACCACAAGACUUCAAAGAUGCAUCAAUUGUGACCAAUCUACAAGAACAAGGGAGAUAAGAGAGACUGCAACAAUUACCGUGGCAUCUCUCUUCUGUCAGUUGUGGGAAAAUGCCUUGCGAAGGUCAUCCUUAGACGCUUGGCGUCCAACAUCAGUGACAGCAUCCUUCCAGAAAACUAAUGUGGUUUUUCAACAGGCCAUAGUACAAUGGACAUGAUCUUCUCACUGAGGCAGCUCCAGGAGAAAUGUGUUGAGCAACAGAGAAGCCUCUAUGUCACAUUUAUUGAUCUAGCCAAAGCGUUUGACACUGUUGGUAGAGAUGGCCUCUGGAAGCUCCUACCAAAAUUCGGUUGCCCUCCGCCACGCCUAACCAAUAUCAUCCGUCAGUUCCACGAAGGCACGGAAGGCCACGUCAACAUGUGUGGUGAGUUGUCAGACCCAUUUCCCAUCAGCAACGACAUAAAACAGGGUUGUGUUUUGGCUCCUACUCUGUUUGGACUAUUCUUCGCUGCUGUUCUGCAGGAUACCACAUCAGACCUGAAGUCAGGGAUCUUCCUACAAGUGAGGGUUGUUGGCAGGCUCUUCGCAAGGCUGAGAGCAAAAACAAAAGUCAGGGACGUUGUGGCACAUGAGCUACAGUUUGCUGAUGACUGGGCACUGUUGCCCACUCUCUUGAAGACUUAUAGGAGAUCACCAGUCGCUUUGCCAGUACAGCCAAAAGCUUCGGACUGACAAUCAGCCUGAAAAAGACUGAAGUUCUAUACCAACUGGCUCCUGGCUCAAGCUAUGAAGAACCAAUUGCCCUCAUUGAUGACACUUGUUUCAGUGCUGUCAACAAGCUUUGCUACCUGGGCAGCAUAUUAACAUCCUCUGCGUCUUUGGAUGUAGAGAUUGAGUCAAGAACCAGAAAAGCCUGCUUUGCCUUCGGUCAACUGAAAGACCGAGUUUGUAAACAGAACAUCAGGUUGGCCACCAAGUGCAAGGUAUACAGGAUCGUUGUCAUAUCAGCCUUGCUAUACGGAUGUGAGAUGUGGUGCCCAUAUCAGAGUCACUUACGCCAGCUUGAUCAACUGCAGCAGCGUCACCUACGUUCUCUGAUGAAGAUCACCUGGCGAGACAAGGUCUCCAAUACCGAGGUCCUCUCAUGAGCUGGAAUGCCAGCAGUUUCAACCUUGGUGAGGUGAGCCCAACUGCGCUGGGCAGGACAUCUUUUCAGAAUGCCUGACGGAACACUAUUGUGUUGCCUUUAAGGCAUUUGUUUAGUUUAUUAUAUUUUCGCUUUAGUAAUUCAUUUGUUAUCGUUUUCUAGUUAAAGUUAAGGUUGUUUAAAGUAAAUUCGUUGUCUGUGAUAUAUCGCGGCAUGCGAUGACGUCACACCCGGUUUCGCCGCGUCUUGUGGGAAAAUACCGGUUUGGAGAAACGGGAAGGAGGAGGCUUAUGUGAGCAGGAUCAGCGCGAGAAAAGUUUUCUUUCUACGCACUAGAAACAUUAGUGAAGCAACGCCUUUUCACCAUACGUUAAUGUGGAAGAGUGAACAGUAAACGGUUAAUCUUACUGGGAUCGCCUCAUUGACUGGUUUAUGCUUGGUGUUUAGUUCAGACUUCUUUUACACCUGUGCGAGAACAGUACAACUACCCAAGGACAUCUUCUACGGCCAGCUGUCCAGUGGUACCCGAAAACGAGGAGGCCAGCAACUACAGUACAAGGAUGUUCUGCACAGGAGCCUCAAGAAAGCUGACAUUGUCCCAUCAAAAUGAGAGGAUCUGGCUCAAGAUCGCUCACAGUGGAGGGACACCAUCAGAAAAGGUGUGGACGCUGCUGAGAACAAGCUCAUAGAGGCAACAGAGGAAAGGCACAGGAAGCACCACAAAAGAGCUUCUGCCCCUGCUGCCCCUCCAGGCCUCACCUGCCAAGUAUGUGGCAAGCAGUGCCUGUUAGGGAUCGGCCUGUACAGCCUCUGCAGGAUGCCAUAUCAAAGCCCACUGACUGACUGAAAGGAACCAUCAUCAUCCUAAGGAUAGCCAGAGAGAGAGAGAGAGAGAGAGAGAGAGAGUGAUUUGAGAAGCAACAUGGUACUGAAGUGAAAAGAAAUUGUUGAUUCUGCUGCUCUGUAAUUUUUUUAAUUAGGUUGAUAUAUUCUGUUUAAGACAGCCAGAUUCAGCUUCCUGCUAUAGACAGUACUCCUUUGUUGUAGUUUGGUUUUAAUAAUAGUCAUAGACUAAUGAGGCGACCUGGUUCACUUUUUGUAAUAUAUUUUCAGUUUGUAAUACAAUACCUCUGGGUUAUAAACUUCUGUACUGCUUGACCUAAUUCAAAAUUGGAAAAAGUGAGUCAUAUUAAUAUUUAACCUGUAAAAGAUAAGUUCUCUGGUCGAGAUGGAUUGAACAAUGCAUUUUUAAAUCCUGUGAAAGUAAUAGUAGAGUUAGUAUUGAACAUAUGUGGGUCAGAGUUUUAGGGACUGCUAACCCAACACAAAUCUCAAGGGAGAUUAAAUGCAUAGACAGACCAGAUAAAGUAUAAGAAAAAUAUGAAAGAGGGCCCAAAGAGAAAAAUUGUUGAACCCAACGUAAUACUUUAUGCUUAAAGGUUAAGACAUAGGUGGAAUUGGAUCAUGUGGAAUUUAAUGGUACAACUGAGUAUUGACCACAAUGGUUGGGCAAGGCCAAUUGUGUCUGGGGACUAUAUCUCCAAAUGAAGACAUUAAGCUAAGUAGUAUAGUGAAAGGAGCUUCUAUUCUAGAGCAUUCAUCCAAAGACAUAAAUUUGAACUCCAGUAUGGCAACUGUGAAAUUUAAAUUCCAGUAAUUAGACAUGAAAAACAAAACUGCAUUAAUAACCACCUAAUUGCUGUAAAAAAACACAUCUAGUUCAGUAAUGACCUUUACUAUUAAUACUUUUGACUCUUAAAAGCAUCCUCAGUUCAGGAUCAGUUAAGGAUGGAUAAUAAUUGCAGAAUUUUCUGUAUCCAUAUUCCAUAAAUGAAUAAAUAAAAAUAGUCUGACAUCAAAGAAAGCCUUCGGGAUAAUAUAUCAGGUUUCUCAGAAAACCUGUGGAUUCAAUUUAGAGUUCAGUCUGAUUGAUUUUAAUUUCUACCAACUAGAGAUAAAAGGGAACUCAAAAUAAAAUUAAUUUUAUUGUUUACUUCUCCAUCAACUGGAUCUAGACCUUUCAUAUCUAUCCUAGAUAGUUUUUGGAAGGGAGUCACCAUAUAAGUGAGAACAUAAAGGAAUUCAGAAAGAACAAAUAUGGUUGCAAAAGAGAUAAUAAACUGAUGUUGGGGAAGGGAUAGUAUAUAGUUGGCAGGAAGCAUUUGAUGGCAUUGUUCAGGAAUUUCAAAGUUGGGCUGUAAAUUUGGAUAUGGAAAAUGUGGAGGCAGCACAGUUUAGUAAUGCAAAAAUAAAUGCUGGUUUUGUCAAACUCCAUUGUGAAAAACACUUAACCAUAUAACAAUUACAGCACGGAAGCAGGCCAUCUCGGCCCGUCUAGUCCGUGCUGAACACUUACUCUCACCUAGUCCCACCAACCUGCACUCAGCCCAUAACCUUCCAUUCUUUUCCUGUCCAUAUACCUAUCCAAUUUUACUUUAAAUGACAAUAUCGAACCUGCCUCUACCACUUCUACUGGAAGCUUGUUCCACACAGCUACCACUCACUGAGUAAAGAAAUUCCCCCUCAUGUUACCUCUAAACUUUUGCCCCCUAACUCUCAACUCAUGUCCUCUUGUUUGAAUCUCCCCUACUCUCAAAGGAAAAAGCCUGUCAACGUCAACUCUAUCUAUCCCUCUCAUAAUUUUAAAUACCUCUAUCAAGUCACCCCCUUAACCUUCUACGGUCUAAAGAAUAAAGACCUAACUUUUUCAAGCUUUCUCUGUAACUUAGGUUCUGAAACCCAGGUAACAUUCUAGUAAAUCUCCUCUGUACUCUCUCUAUUUUGUUGACAUCUUUCCUAUAAUUUGAUGACAAGAACUGUACAUAAUAUUCCAAAUUUGGUCCUACCAAUACCUUGUACAAUUUUAACAUUACAUCCCAACUCCUAUACUCAAUGCUCUGAUUUAUAAAGGCCAGCAUACCAAAACCUUUCUUCACCACCCUAUCCACUUGAGAUUCCACCUUCAGGGAACUAUGCACCAUUAUUCCUAGAUCACUCAGUUCUAUUGCAUUCUUCAAUGCCCUACCAUUUACCAUGUAUGUCCACUUUUAUAUUCCUUAAAAGCGCCAGCACUUCCUCCUCUUUAAUCAUCAUAGUUUCCAUAACUUCUCUACUUGUUUCCCUUACCUUACACAAUUCAAUAUCCUUCUCCUUAGUGAAUACUGAAGAAAAGAAAUUGUUUAAUAUCUCCCCCAUCUCUUUUGGCUCCACACAUAUCUGUCCACUCUGAUUCUCUAAGGGACCAAUUUUAUCCCUCACUAUCCUUUUGCUAUUAAUAUAACUGUAGAAACACUUUGGAUUUAUUUUCACCUUACUUGCCAAAGCAACCUCAUAUCUUUUAGCUUUUCUAAUUUCUUUCUUAAGAUUCUUUAUAUUCCCCGAGAACCUCAUUUAUUCCAUGCUGCCUAUAUUUAUUGUCGGUCUCUUUUUCCAAACCAAGUUUCCAAUAUCCCUUGAAAACCAUGGCUCUCAAACUUUAAACCUUUCCUUUCAACCUAACAGGAACAUAAAGAUUCUGUACCCUCAAAAUUUCCCCUAUAAGUGACCUCCAUUUCUCUAUUACAUCCUUCCUAUUAAAACAAACUGUCCCAAUCCACUCCUUCUAAAUCCUUUCGCAUCUCCUCAAAGUUAGCCGUUCGCCAAUCAAAAAUCUCAACCCUGGGUCCAGUCCUAUCCUUCUCCAUAAUUAUAUUGAAACUAAUGGCAUUGUGAUCACUGGACCCAAAGUGCUCCCCAUCACAUACCUCCGUCACCUGACCUAUCUCAUUCCCUAACAGGAGAUCCAACACUGCCCCUUCUCUAGUUGGUACCUCUAUGUAUUGCUGCAAAAAACUAUCCUGCACACAUUUUACAAACUCCAAAUCAUCCAUCCCUUUUACAGUAUGGGCUUCCCAGUCUAUCUGUGGAAAAUUAAAA